rnacentral:RNase_P_RNA from 2 species
GCAGGCGGGGAAGCUCAUCAGCGGGGCCACAUGCUGAGUGCUCCUCACUCCUCCGGCCCGGGAAGUUCUGAGACUGUGGCCUCCAGCAGCACUAACCGGGCCCUCCUGGAGCAGGGAGGUGAGUUCCCAGAGAGCAGGGCUCCACGUGUGGGUAGACUUUCAAGCUCGUGGGAGCUUGAAACAGACUCACUGUGGAGCAGGGGGGAAGAGGGUGGGGUGCAGGCAGUAUUAGCAUACAAGAGAAGCUCGGUGGCUCUUACAGAGGAGGGAGAGAUAUGGCAAGGGCCAUUUCCCUCAGUAACUCUCUUGCAGC